rnacentral:rRNA from 1 species
GCCUAAUACAUGCAAGUCGAGCGAACAGAUAAGGAGCUUGCUCCUUUGACGUUAGCGGCGGACGGGUGAGUAACACGUGGGUAACCUACCUAUAAGACUGGAAUAACUCCGGGAAACCGGGGCUAAUGCCGGAUAACAUAUAGAACCGCAUGGUUCUAUAGUGAAAGAUGGUUUUGCUAUCACUUAUAGAUGGACCCGCGCCGUAUUAGCUAGUUGGUAAGGUAAUGGCUUACCAAGGCGACGAUACGUAGCCGACCUGAGAGGGUGAUCGGCCACACUGGAACUGAGACACGGUCCAGACUCCUACGGGAGGCAGCAGUAGGGAAUCUUCCGCAAUGGGCGAAAGCCUGACGGAGCAACGCCGCGUGAGUGAUGAAGGGUUUCGGCUCGUAAAACUCUGUUAUUAGGGAAGAACAUAUGUGUAAGUAACUGUGCACAUCUUGACGGUACCUAAUCAGAAAGCCACGGCUAACUACGUGCCAGCAGCCGCGGUAAUACGUAGGUGGCAAGCGUUAUCCGGAAUUAUUGGGCGUAAAGCGCGCGUAGGCGGUUUCUUAAGUCUGAUGUGAAAGCCCACGGCUCAACCGUGGAGGGUCAUUGGAAACUGGGAAACUUGAGUGCAGAAGAGGAAAGUGGAAUUCCAUGUGUAGCGGUGAAAUGCGCAGAGAUAUGGAGGAACACCAGUGGCGAAAGCGACUUUCUGGUCUGUAACUGACGCUGAUGUGCGAAAGCGUGGGGAUCAAACAGGAUUAGAUACCCUGGUAGUCCACGCCGUACACGAUGAGUGCUAAGUGUUAGGGGUUUCCGCCCCUU